UCCCCCGUGAGGGGGCAGUCUCGCCUGACAUAAGUAACAGACAACGAGGGUUGCGUUCGUUACCCCACUGAAGGGAACAGCUCAAGCCACGAACUGACGACGACCAUGCAUCACCUGCCAAACACCCUCGAAGGCUUCCAACUUUUCAGAAGGAAUGCAGUUUGGUUUCUAGCCUUGGUAAGGUUCUUCGCUUGUCGACGAAUUAAGCCACAUGAUCCACCCCUUGUGCGAGUCCCCGUCUAUUCCUUUGAGUUUUAAUCUUGCGAUCGUACUACCCAGGCGGCUCGCUUACCGCGUUAGCUUAGUCUCACAGAGGGUCGAUACUCCGUAAAACGAGCGAGCAACGUUUAGGGCUAGGACUAC
rnacentral:misc_RNA from 1 species